UAAAAAACAAAAAUACAUACACGCAGCGUAUCCAUAAUCGUAUCUCCGCUAUUCGCGUGGUUGUUAAUCCCGCAUUGGACUCCGUAGAAAAUCGUCAGUUACAAACGGAGUGCAAGAUACACGCGACAUAUAAUCCCGCAGUUGACGACAAGAAGACGAUUUUGUUUUGGGGCUUUUAAAGUUGUGAAGAACAUAACCCAAAAGCACAAAAUGAAAUCUGAACGAGAACAAAGUCAGAAUCAAGCGAGAUCGAAUUGCAUCGUUGAUUGUCUUGCAGAAUGAAUUCUGAAAGAGAACAAAGUCAGGAUCAAGCGAGAUCGAAUUGCAUUGUUGAUUGUCUUGCAGAAUGAAUUCUGGUAUGUGAAUGUGUUCACCUUUUUUGGUUUUGUUUUUUAAUUAUGAGGAGCAACCCAAUUCUAAUUGAAGAUCAGUUCAGGUAUUAUUCGCUCCACAAACCAUAAUUUGCGUAUGUAAAUGUGGUGCAUUUAAUCCGAAUGUUCUGUAUUGGUGCUUCUAAGGUAAUUUGUCCGUUGUUUUUUUGUGUUUCGGCUUCGUAAGGCAGCUUUAAUAGUUUUUCAUCUCUGAUUGUAAUAUAGCAUGUGCAGGACACCCCGGUUUGUAGUUCUUUAUUAGGGUUAGUAUUUACAGCGUGUUUUUUUUAUUAUAAUGUGUUAGUGAAUUUUGGUGUAAAUAUUGAUGAUGGGUUUAGUGUGCAGAUUUGUAUUGUGUUUUUUUUGUCUACUUAGUAAAAGGCUUUUGUUUGUUUAUUGUUCAGAUAUAUGUAUUAGGGGGUUAUUGUUUGCAGAUCGAGGAUAUUGUGUGAUUAGGAGUUUAGGGAAUGUAACCUGACUAUAAUGGGUUUGGUGAUAUUUAAUUGGACAAAACUGAUAAUGUGCUUUUGUACUGUUAAUUCAUUUGUAGGUCUGUUCAACUGAACAGUUAGCGUGACCAGCCUAGUCAAUUCAUAGCCUGUUAUUUAAAUGCAGAACUCAUCAAUUUGCUUGUGAAAAACAAUUCGGGAUGCAGAGUUUUAUCCCUCAGUGCCCCAUGUCUUAAUAUAACGUGUGUUCAAUGCCUGAACUAUAAUUUUUUUUCCUAUGCAGACCUAUGAGGAACGGCUUGUCGUAGACGAGCAAUACGACGGUAGUAGAUAGUGCAUCUUAAUGUUUUAAAAUCCGAACUUUCUAAUUAAUGAAUAUGACAUAUUGGGGACACUAGUGGAGAACUGAAAGUUAUUAAGGGCUUAAUUGUAUUCUAUGUCUAUUCAAAAUGUAUUCAACAGUACAUUUUGUCUAUUUAUGCAGGAUUUUGAUGGGAGCGCAAGAGCUAAAUAUAUUUUAACAAAAGACAUGCACGUGGAUGACAACGUUUCAGGAGAUAACGAUAAAUCUAAUGGGGAUGAUUUCAAUAAUGAAAUAUUCUACGAGAAGAUGAUGGUGACAAUUCUAAUUAAAGAUUUGAGCACUUUGUUGCUUUUAAUGAUAUUUUGGAAGGAGGAAUUGAGUCUGGACAGGACUUCCAAAUGAAGAUGAUGAAAAUAUGAUAAUCUAAAUGCCGCUGCUGAUGAGAUGAGUUAAUGUUGUGUAGGAGAACCAGAAGAGUGUUCUCCACAAUCAUAAAGUCAUUUAUGCUCACUGUAUGCUGACAUGGUUGGAGAAUUGAAUACGGCACAUUGUCUUGGAUAAGCUUGUUAAGUGCAGCAAGAGGAAGUUGAUGGAAAUGUGAAAUGCAUCUUUAAGAAUAUGUACUCAGUUUAAAUUUAUUUGGAUGAGUAAAACAAUUGUCUAUAAACUAAAUUGGGAUUGUCUGAAUUGUUUUGCAAUAAUGGCAUAUGUGAUUCUCUGAAAAUAUGUACAAGUUUAUCAAGUGUUACCCAUCACCUGUUCAAUUUUUCGCCUCUUUUUAGUCAGAAGCUGAAAGGUGUACUUAUUCUUAAAGUUGUACAAACUAAAUGAUUAUAACAUGAUAUUUGUUAUCUAAA